AUUGAACGCUGGCGGCAUGCUUUACACAUGCAAGUCGAACGGUAACAGGCCGCAAGGUGCUGACGAGUGGCGAACGGGUGAGUAAUGCAUCGGAACGUGCCCAGUCGUGGGGGAUAACUACUCGAAAGAGUAGCUAAUACCGCAUACGAUCUAUGGAUGAAAGCGGGGGACCGUAAGGCCUCGCGCGAUUGGAGCGGCCGAUGUCAGAUUAGGUAGUUGGUGGGGUAAAGGCUCACCAAGCCAACGAUCUGUAGCUGGUCUGAGAGGACGACCAGCCACACUGGGACUGAGACACGGCCCAGACUCCUACGGGAGGCAGCAGUGGGGAAUUUUGGACAAUGGGCGCAAGCCUGAUCCAGCAAUGCCGCGUGCAGGAAGAAGGCCUUCGGGUUAUAAACUGCUUUUGUACGGAACGAAACGGCUCUGGUUAAUACCCGGGGCUAAUGACGGUACCGGAAGAAUAAGCACCGGCUAACUACGUG
rnacentral:rRNA from 1 species